rnacentral:rRNA from 1 species
UACGUAGGGUGCAAGCGUUAAUCGGAAUUACUGGGCGUAAAGCGUGCGCAGGCGGUUAUGUAAGACAGUUGUGAAAUCCCCGGGCUCAACCUGGGAACUGCAUCUGUGACUGCAUAGCUAGAGUACGGUAGAGGGGGAUGGAAUUCCGGCGUGUAGCAGUGAAAUGCGUAGAUAUGCGGAGGAACACCGAUGGCGAAGGCAAUCCCCUGGACC